rnacentral:tRNA from 1 species
GGAUUGUGGCUCAGAGGUAGAGCACUCGCCUAGCACGCGCGGGGCCCUGGGUUUGAUCUUCAGCACCA